rnacentral:rRNA from 1 species
UACGGAGGGUGCAAGCGUUAUCCGGGUUCACUGGGUUUAAAGGGUGCGUAGGCGGGCAGGUAAGUCCGUGGUGAAAUCUCUGAGCUUAACUCAGAAACUGCCAUGGAUACUAUUUGUCUUGAAUAUUGUGGAGGUGAGCGGAAUAUGUCAUGUAGCGGUGAAAUGCUUAGAUAUGACAUAGAACACCAAUUGCGAAGGCAGCUCACUACACAGUUAUUGACGCUGAGGCACGAAAGCGUGGGGAUCAAACAGG